AACGCGAAGAACCUUACCAAAGCUUGACAUCCCGAUGAAUACCCGAUAAAGAGGGGGCUAGGCUUCGGCCACAUCGGAGACAGGUGGUGCAUGGUUGUCGUCAGCUCGCGUCGUGAGAUGUUGGGUUAAGUCCCGCAACGAGCGCAACCCUUGUCGCUAGUAACCAUCAUUAAGUUGGGGACUCUAGCGAGACCGCUGUGGAUAACACAGAGGAAGGUGGGGAUGAUGUCAAAUCAUCAUGCCCCUUAUGCUUUGGGCAACAAACGUACUACAAUGGCCGAUACAGAGAGAAGCGAAGUAGCGAUAUGGAGCGAACCUCAAAAAUCGGUCUCAGUUCAGACUGCAGUCUGCAACUCGACUGCAUGAAGUCGGAAUCGCUAGUAAUCUCGAAUCAGAAUGUCGAGGUGAAUACGUUCCCGGGUCUUGUACACACCG
rnacentral:rRNA from 1 species